UAGCUAAUUUAUUCUUUUUCAUCAAACCUCUCUCACAAUAACUUUCGAAGCAUGAAACUUUAUGAUUCGCUAAGAGAGAGAUUCGAACUUAAAAUAUCUUCCGACAUUAAAGAGAUAUUCAUACGACUAUACUGGGAGCUAGUUAUGUCAGAACACAACACGAUCGACCACAGCCACAGUCGAAUCGCAAAUCCCCCCCGCCCAAUUUGUGUUUACGUAUAAUUGAUGACUAAGUACUGCCCUCUUGUAUGGCACAGACGAAUUUUUUCAAACACCUUAAGCAUAAGGAUGUAUAUGAUAUGAUGAACAAAUCAAGCAGAAAAGGCCAUCAAAGAAUGCAUGAAGUUCAGCAUUUAAGGAUUUCCCUGAGAGCAAAACCAGUCUACGGUAACGGCGUCUACCUUAGGCGCCCCCGUCCCACCAAGGGUGCAGCAAGCUCUCUACUAGCUAAGCCCCCCACUUUCUUCCUGUCCGCAGUGCUCAGGCAUGUUGCUGUUGGAUUGAUCAUCUUUGCUCUGUAUUAAUCGCUUGAGGUAAUUUUGCAAACGUGAUUUAGGACGCGAUCGAUGUGGAAGUUUUGCAUGAAACUUUCGCUGUUAAACCCGGCGUUUAAAUCCGUUUCCGAAACCUGCUUCUUAUUUGUAAAUUAGAAUGUCUGCGCCGCCAUCCUACCGGCUGUAUGUUAAUCUUAAUUUUGUGUUCAUUCUUUCAAUUGUGAUGUAUCAAUAUAUAUGUAUAUGCUAUUGGUAUCAUCAACCCCACAUAAAUUUGUACGUUGUUUCCUAGAAAAGAAUAUAGAAACUUCAUGUUCCUGA